rnacentral:misc_RNA from 1 species
GAUGAAGAACGUAGCGAAAUGCGAUAAGUAGUGUGAAUUGCAGAAUUCAGUGAAUCAUCGAAUCUUUGAACGCACAUUGCGCCCCUUGGUAUCCCGAGGGGCAUGCCUGUUCGAGCGUCAUUUCACCACUCAAGCCUGGCUUGGUGUUGGGCGACGUCCCCUUUAGGGACGCGCCUCGAAACGCUCGGCGGCGCGGCACCGGCUUUAAGCGUAGCAGAAUCUUUCGCUUUGGAAGCCGGGGCCCCGCCUGCCGGAAUACCUACUUGUAAGGUUGACCUCGGAUCAGGCAGGGAUACCCGCUGAACUUAAGCAUAUCAAUAAGCGGAGGA